UCAGAAGAAGCACCGGCUAACUCCGUGCCAGCAGCCGCGGUAAUACGGAGGGUGCAAGCGUUAAUCGGAAUUACUGGGCGUAAAGCGCGCGUAGGCGGUUAAAUAAGUCAGAUGUGAAAGCCCCGGGCUCAACCUGGGAACUGCAUUUGAAACUGUUUAGCUAGAGUGUGGUAGAGGAGAGUGGAAUUUCAGGUGUAGCGGUGAAAUGCGUAGAUAUCUGAAGGAACAUCAGUGGCGAAGGCGGCUCUCUGGACCAACACUGACGCUGAGGUGCGAAAGCGUGGGUAGCAAACGGGAUUAGAUACCCCGGUAGUCCACGCUGUAAACGAUGUCAACUAACCGUUGGGCGGGUUUCCGCUUAGUGGUGCAGCUAACGCAAUAAGUUGACCGCCUGGGGAGUACGGCCGCAAGGCUAAAACUCAAAUGAAUUGACGGGG
rnacentral:rRNA from 1 species